AAGGAUUUAAGUUAAACAAACUAUCGGCCUUCAAAGCUGAAAACAGAAGCUUAUUUCUAAGCCUUA
rnacentral:tRNA from 1 species